AAUCAACGCUGGCGGCGUGCCUAACACAUGCAAGUCGUGCGCGAAAGGGGCUUCGGCCCUGAGUAGAGCGGCAAACGGGUGAGUAACGCGUGGGUGACCUACCCUUGAGUGGGGGAUAACAGUCCGAAAGGAUUGCUAAUACCGCAUGACAUCCUGUUCUUGAACGGAUGGAGAUCAAAGCCGGGGAUCGCAAGACCUGGCGCUCGAGGAGGGGCUCGCGUUCGAUUAGCUAGUUGGUGGGGUAAUGGCUCACCAAGGCGACGAUCGAUAGCCGGCCUGAGAGGGCGGACGGCCACACUGGGACUGAGACACGGCCCAGACUCCUACGGGAGGCAGCAGUGGGGAAUUGUUCGCAAUGGGCGCAAGCCUGACGACGCAACGCCGCGUGGAGGAUGAAGAUCUUCGGGUCGUAAACUCCUGUCGACCGGGACGAAAUUUCCGGGAGCUAACAUCUCCCGGGAUUGACGGUACCGGUGGAGGAAGCCCCGGCUAACUCCGUGCCAGCAGCC
rnacentral:rRNA from 1 species